GGUUGUGGAGUGGAUCUCCUUGAAGUCCAAAUGAGGUUCUUGCUGGGUUGAUUAUAUUGAGCUGCUGAGCUAUGGAUCCCACAGUUCUACCAAUGACACGCCUUUUGUGGUAGCUCUGCAGCGUGCAUAUCUUGGGAGCUUUAUUACCUCUUGUCAGAUCUUUAUUUAGAUUGGAGGAAGUUCCACACCUUCAUCUC
rfam:Glycine soja cultivar W05 scaffold5155_35, whole genome shotgun sequence.